UACGGAGGGAGCUAGCGUUGUUCGGAAUUACUGGGCGUAAAGCGCGCGUAGGCGGCUUUGUAAGUUAGAGGUGAAAGCCCGGAGCUCAACUCCGGAACUGCCUUUAAAACUGCAUCGCUUGAAUCCAGGAGAGGUGAGUGGAAUUCCGAGUGUAGAGGUGAAAUUCGUAGAUAUUCGGAGGAACACCAGUGGCGAAGGCGGCUCACUGGACUGGUAUUGACGCUGAGGUGCGAAAGCGUGGGGAGCAAACAGG
rnacentral:rRNA from 1 species